rnacentral:rRNA from 1 species
CCAGACUCCUACGGGAGGCAGCAGUGGGGGAUAUUGCACAAUGGGGGGAACCCUGAUGCAGCGACGCCGCGUGGGUGAAGGAGUAUUUCGGUAUGUAAAGCCCUAUCGGCAGGGAAGAAGCAAGACGGUACCUGACUAAGAAGCCCCGGCUAACUACGUGCCGGCAGCCGCGGUAAUACGUAGGGGGCAAGCGUUAUCCGGAUUUACUGGGUGUAAAGGGAGCGUAGACGGUUAUGUAAGUCUGGAGUGAAAGCCCGGGGCCCAACCCCGGGACUGCUUUGGAAACUGUGUAACUGGAGUACAGGAGGGGCAGGCGGAAUUCCUGGUGUAGCGGUGAAAUGCGUAGAUAUCAGGAGGAACACCGGCGGCGAAGGCGGCCUGCUGGACUGAAACUGACGUUGAGGCUCGAAAGCGUGGGGAGCAAACAGGAUUAGAUACCCCUGUAU